AUAAUUUUAAACUUGGAAUAACUCUUUGUACGAGCGGCUUGCAAGAAGUCAUGCUGGGAGAAAAAUAUAUUGCCCGAAGGAUGACAGGUAAGGUUGGCAACUUCCCCGGAAGGAUCUCAAAUUCUCAUCCUGUAGGAUGCCGUUGAUGUGAUACAGCUCGUCAAAGAUUUUUAUGGAAGAAGAAAAACUUGUUACCAAGAUUUAUGUUGAAAAAAAUAUGAAUAAAAAUUUAACUUAUGA